AAAGAAUAUUUCAUCCUUCCUCUUUAUGAACAAUAAUUAUAGUAUAUUUAUUUUAUCUUUUAUCUUUUUAUCCUUAAUUAUCUGAAUGCUCUCAUUUGCAAUGCUCCCUUGCAAUAGUCUACCCCAAGAGAUUCUGGUCUUCAUGCUCAAUCUGAUACAGCUAAUCUUUUCUGUAUAUGUUACCGUUCUUAAACUGGUUCUUGAGGAUAUUAUUCAGGUUGUUUCAGGUAGUUUCAGGAUGUAGCUUUAUGGAUGAUGCAGGCAUAUUUAGCUCUUUCACCAAUUGUGCCAUUGUGUCAUUGCCUUACACUGGAUGAGCCAUGGUCCCCAUGUCCAUCACAUAUUAAAGACACGACACAGUGAGAGCAGCAGUUUAUAAAAUGAUAUGAUACCUGAGUUAAAUAUGAGUUCAAUAUCUGUAUUUAUAUCUUAUGAGAAAACAGAUCUCAGAGGAAAAAUAUUUAGAUAUCUCAGCUAAUUGAUGGAUGCAAUUUUUUACUUUUAAGUUUUUAGCUUUAGCUCUGUUACUCAGAUCAAAUUAGGUGAAGAAAGUGGUAUCCUCAGGUUGUAAAAUGUAUGUCUAUACCAAGGCUAAUAAGUAAUUGCUGGCUUUUAGGAGUGGUAAAUUCUAGGUUUUAUUUUUAAAUUACGGUAUCACUAGCUAGGUUUAAAACGUGGUGGAAGUUGGGUACCUUAAAUAUGUAAAUUAAGGUUCAGAUGUUGGUGUAUUAGUAGACUGCUGCAAAUUUCACCUUUUUUGCAGGCGUGCAGUUUAUCAGGGAAAAAAAUCUGAUUACUCUUCUAAAAAGGCAAAUAUGUCUCUAUUGCAUCAGGAGGCAGGGGAGAGAGCAAGGGGACAGUCUGAACAGUCCCAAGGGAAAAACUGAGGAGAAACUGGAAGGAUGGUGAGAAUGGAUGAGCUUGCUACUACUUCCCUGUACCUAUAGCCAUCCUUUUAUGCUCAGGAUGUUCAGAUACUACACGAUAUAUGGAGGGAAGCCCAGACCAAAAUGUGAAUAUAUUCAGGUCCCAUUGCCUUUCUGGGAGCUGCACACAGAGAAAGAUGGCAGGAUUUGUUUUCUUUAGACACUAAUGAUUUCUUCUUUGAAAACCAUGUGUAAAUAAUGAGUGACUUCAGUUAUUUUAAAGAUGGGCAUUACAAUUCUUGAUUCAGUUUUGCAGUUCUUCAGAGAGGAAGUUCUUUGUCUGGAAGAUACUAUCAAUGCCUAUUAUGUGGCCAGUGAGGUGCUCUAAAUCAGAGUUAGAAUGUGAUUUAACUAUGCUGAGGCUAGACGUAGGAGAGAGAAAUAACCUUCAGCUAAAGAAAUUCCAAAAUUACUGUGAGACUCCUGGUUAUGUAACUAUUGAACUAUCUGAAAUAUGAUCUAUAAAGUGCAGCCUAGUCAUUAAGUAUUGAGAAGUCUCUUGCAUCUACUUUAUUUAUUCUCUAAUAUUUAUUCUUGAACCACUGAAACAGUCAGCACUAGGGAACAGACAAUUAAAGGGAGGAUUGCACAACUAAACACUAUAUAGUGAUUAUUCAUUCCAGAAAAAUAUUUUUUCCUUGAUAUAUUUGUAUUAGACAGUACAAAUGCAUUUAGCUUUUAGAAGAACCUCACAGUAGAACAGUAUAUUUCUAAGAUGUUCUAUGAAAUUAAUCAUUUUUUCCAACACUGUUUACAGCUUUAUAGGUGAACUGUGAACCAUCAUCUCUGAAUCUGCUCAUAAACUGCUUUAGGCACUUAAUUCAAUACCUCUCAAAUGCCCCAUAUUUUGAUGAUUGUUGCUCAUUUUAGCUCUAAAGUUAACCACGUUGCACCAAACCUUGUAUCCCUCUAGUAUCCCCUUAAUAUCCCCAGUAUCUUCUCUCAUAUUGAAAACUUCACACCACACUUAAAAUAUGCCAAAGUUCACUCAGAGCAAGCUAUGAACAUGAAGGUAAGACUCCAGCUCUCCUUGCUUCUCACAGUCUCUUCUGUGUCACACUCUGCCUGAAUGGCAGUAAGGAUGUGUUUAGUGCUAUGCCCAGCAGCCUCUACCCUUAGCCAUACAGACCUGCUGGGGCACACAGAGACUGUCCCCGUCCUGCCCGUGCCCUCAGCCUUGGGCUGGCAUGCAGCCAAGGUGCAUCACCAAAGCCAGGAGCUGGGAAGCACUCCUGGGUUGAGUUCGGCCGGACCUGCAAUGUUCUAAAUUACAUUUUUUGACAGGAGAUUUUAAUACCUGUCACUUGAGAUUUUUGUCUGAAGUUAACUGCUUUUCCCAGUGUCUACUGCUGUCAUUUUAUUUUAAGCAUGUGCACAACUGGCCAAACCAAGCCAUGACAAUCUUGGCAAUUUUCAGCGUAUUUAGAGCCUCCCUGGCCAGCAGAUUGUCCCCUGUGCAGUUAAUCAUAACCUGCACCUGAUCAUGUAGGCAACUCAGAUUGUCCUGGAAACCAGCUGUUGGUGCUGACUGGGUACUGGCCACAGCCAGCAGCAAUUUAGGAGGGACCAGAGGUAAUAGAGUCUAUCAAAAGCUGUUACCUGAAUAGGCUUCCAACACAAAAGCAGACUGGGACCAUUCUGUCUGCUCUCAAGAUGCUAUUAUGCCACUAAGAAGUUAUGGCAUAGCUGAACUUGCCUUAGGGAUCCUGGGAUUCGAGAUGACCUGGAAGGAGAGGGGAGGAAGAAAUCUACAACAGGAUGUUGAAGGGUGUAGCUCCUCAGGCUGAAAAAUCUUCUUGGUGAACGUGCAGCACAGUGGUGUUGCUCAGUGGUGAGGGCACAGAGUUAGGAUUUGGGUUGCAGUCUCUGAGCAGCCUGGCUGCACACAGCUGCACCUUCAGCAUGGCUCAAGCAGUCCUUGGCUGGUGUUACGGUGGCAAACAGCAGACAAGGAAAUGUUGGUAGUGUGUGUGAAUGUUAGAUCCCUGGGCAGAUUAGGAAACAGGAACAGGUUUCCUAGAUAGGUGGUUCAUGCCCAGGCCUGUCAGUAUUCAAGAGACAUUUGGACAAUGCCCUCAAUAAUAUGCUUUAACUAUUGGUUAGCCCUGAAGUGGUUAGGCAGUUGGACUUGAUGAUCUUUGAAGGUCACGUUCUAUUGUAUUCGUAAACUUGACACUUGAAGCAUUUCUGGUCUUGAUUUUGGCAGCCAGUUUUAUGAGGUGGUCAUAGAAAGUCAGCCUUACAAAUACGAAUGCUAGGAGGCACUGUCUGCAGAAUUUUAACCAGCUCUUGGCCUGACAAGGAAGCAGUCACUCCCAUGUCUGAGUGGGAAGGUGAUUUGAAAGAGAAAAGUGCACACAACUGGUUUAAAAGCAUUCAGCAGAGCAAGCAGCGUUUAAGGCUGUAUGGCAUAUAGCUGUUAAGUCAGCAUCACAGUAGCAAUAAAUUCUCAAAGACCUGACAACAGAGACCUGAAAAUGAGUGCCCAAGCAGAAACCAUGAGCUAAAAGAAACCUAUAGAGCAGUUUCAAAUGGACUGUGGGGGUAAAAGUUACAAACAGCAGGUGCUGUUACUGAGCCCUGAAGAUGAUAACUGAGCUGAAAUUUCGAAGAAAGGGCUUUGUGGACAACUUCACUCAGAAACAGCAGCAUGGUUCUUUCCACAUUGUAAUGAGCAAUGUGGGAAGUAUUCUAGAGAGUUUCCUGAGCAGAUUGCUGGGCCUCACCAACUUACUUGACACAGAUAUUUACUGUCCAAAAUUGCAUUUGUAACUCAGAUUCCUACCCUCAAGAGAGAAAUUGCAGGAAUGUAGGUUCACUGCUUACACAUUGGGCGUUGGCAGUGAAGGUGGAAUGGAGAGCAACUAGCAAACUUGUUAUCCAGCCUUUCUUAACAAUCAUUAAAGUGUCAGUUCUCACUAUUUUUUCGUUGCUGCAGGCAGCAACAUUACUGCUAAUUUUCAGCUCCCUGCUAGCACUUAAAUUAAGACUCUAGAGAGAUUUGGUUGGGUUUUUUAGCGCCUGAGUAGUCAUUUGACAACUUGCGAAGUAGCAGAUGAAUACUGGUGAGGUUGAGAACUAGGUGUUGUCCAAGGGUAAAUAUGUGUGGCAGGAAAAAAAUCACAACAAAAAUAGGCUGUACUGACCUGGGAAUGAGGAUAUUUGAAAUAGAAUUGCUUCAGGCAAGCCUGUUCUCAGAGUAUAAAGACCAAAACAAGCUCCACUGCCUUGCUGAUGUGUUUGGAAGAAUUUGAUGUGACCUUGGAAGAGUAGUGUGCUUGAAAACCAAGAGCAAAGGUCUAGGCUUGGGACUUAACAGCUUAAACAGAAAGCCAGGAUAAGGUUUAAGCCUAGAUUUUAACCUGGUAUAACAUGCAGCAUGAAUGCCAUGAUGGUGUUUAAAUCAGACUGAGGGAAGCAAAUCUCUAGCUUUACCAAAUAACUCUUUUUAGUAUGAAUUAGCAGUGCGAGAGGAUCAUGAUUGUCUGUGCACAGGAUUAUCGCAGUUAAAAAGUUCUCUGUUAUGGAAAAAAAAUGAUUUACUGAACCUGAUUUUCCAUAAGGUAUUAUAAAUAGCAAGCAACAGUACAUGCUGAUGGCACCAGGAAGGUAGCUAAUUUCUGCAUGGUUUUAAUAUGAAGAUCUUCCACUGUUUUGCACACACACAAAUUUCUGAGAAAUUCAGAUAAUGUUAUACGUGGGAGGGCUGAUCAAAACUUUGCAGGUUGGGCCAAAUAAAAUAAUACAUUUGCAUGUGUUUAUUCAUUGUUAUAUGAUAGUUUUAUAUGACUUUUUUUAAUUUACUUUUUUUUUUUUUUAAUUUUACAAACACAUAUUUUGAUUUUACUGAAACCACAACAUAAAUCCACAGUGUAAAUUUCUGUAAAAAGUUUAAAAUCUAGAGAAAUUCAUUAAAUAAAGGCUUAUCAAAUUGGUGAUACUAAUGGCACUGUAUAUGACUAUGAACACUAUCCACAAUUUCUAAAUCAGAAGCUAAAAAAAUGAUCUGUGUAUAAAUCCAAAUAUUUCUACUGCUUCUCUAAAAUCUGAGAUUUAAAUAAGUACUAAAUAUCUAAAAAGAUUCCUCAAAAGAACAGUACUUGUCUUUCUGCAGUCUGGAAUCCAAUAGCUUCCUGUAGAACUUGAGUCAGGUUUUGCCUUGUCUUGGGCAGAAUAACAUAAUUUUAAUAGUCUCUUCUGACAUUUGCAUAAUGCAGAAUGUGAAACAUUGAACUGAAAGGCAUGGUUCAUUUAAUUUAAGUGAAGACCUGGAUCAUUUAAUCAUUACUGCCUGACAAAAUAAUUUAUAAAUUACUAAGGAGUCUCUGUCAAGGAAUGAUCCUUU